CAAUCUGUCUCAGGGUUACACCUGGUGCCAUUUCUGCCAGCUAACAAGCCUGGGUAGUCUUGCUGCUGGUCCUUCUGCUGAUUAGUAUUGAUUAUUCCUCUCACCUGAAAAUAAAGAGAAGUCUGCAUUUCCUUAUUGAACUCACAAGGCCAGAUGCUGAGAAUACAAACAUCUUCUGCUACCCCUGCACUAAUAAUAAAUAUUCCAGAGACCUGUUUCUACCCAUUUGAAAAGAGGACCAGUUCCUUCAAGCUGCCUCUGCUGCCAUCUCCUGCUCAGAACAUGAUCAGGGACAAGCAUCUUGGCAGGUUGCAACAGGAUCAGCCUUCAUCCACCUGAAAACCUGGGGGUACUGUGUGUUUGGCACUUAAUUGUGUCAGGACCCUCCUCAAGAGUGCACCUGCCUCCUACCUGGAACAGAGAGGUUGCCUAACUACAUCAUUGUCUUAGAAAGGUCACUCAAAUAGAAAAGCUCUGGACAAAGUGGAGAGAUGGGAAGACAAAAUAUUGAGUAUAACUGCUCCCCUCUCUUUUCAAAUUAUGCUUUGACUUUCAUGAGCCAGACAAUCAGUGUGUUUGGCCAAAAAUCUCAGAUGUCAAAGGUCAAGCAAUAAAUAUACAUACUCUAUUAUUGUAAGAAACCAUAAGUUAUUUAAGAUGGAGAUCCUUUAGCAAUACUGAGGUUUUGUCUGCUGAAAACACACCAUCUUUCUGUAUCUUUUGCUGUGAAACUGGGCUUAUAAUUUUUGUGUGUAUUUAGAGGUCAUGUUGAGCUGAAAGGAAAUAUAUCAAAAUUGGGUUUAUAUAGUUAGAAUCAGAUAAAGUUUCAAGUUGGUUUUUUAAGGUGUACAACAUCUAUUAUGUGAGAACAAAAUAUAGUGCAGUUAGUUCAAAGAUAAACUGCUGUACUCAUAAAAAAAAGAAUGUGUCUUCAAAAUAUUUUUUUCUUGGGAACCCAGCAGGCUGUUUAUUCAACCUACCUUCCUUUGUCUCUUCCUCUUUCUCUCUCUUUAUUUCUCUCUUUCUCUCUUGCUUUUUCUUCUCUCUUUACUCUUUUGUCUUUCUUUCUUUUGAAAAGGACAUCUGCAGACUGAAAAAUUUCUAGCUUGAAAAUGUUCUUGAAAAUUGAUAAGCUAUCAAACCUGAUAAAUUUUUUGGUUGAAUAAAAAAAAUCUCAAAAUAAAA